rnacentral:tRNA from 1 species
UCCCUAGUAGCUCAGACAGUAGAGCAUCUGCCUGCAAUGCAGAAGACCAGAGUUCAAUCCCUGGGUCGGGAA